rnacentral:lncRNA from 13 species
GUGAGAAGGUAGACAUCUUCAAGCUAGGAAGAGAAUCCUUACAAGAAAUUAAUCCUGUCAGACCUUGAUCUUGAACUUUCAGCCUUCAGAACGAUCCAUUCUAUUCUCUGACUGGAUUCUCUUAACAAAUCUCUAAGGCAGUGCAAAAGUGGCCUUCAGUCAUGAAGAAUGAUACUUUUAAAGACUUGGAGGUUUGAACUCCACCAACUCAAUAUACCUUGACAGGUCACUA